AAAGACUUACCGCCGGGUAAUCAAGCGUUGGAUUUUGUAUCGUAGGCCUUUGAAGAUACAAAAUGUCAGCGCUUUUCUUUU
rnacentral:ncRNA from 1 species